UUUGCACUGCUUCUCACUACCCUCCGGCAAUAAUUUCCAACUAUCUCCUCAUGUGUCAUGUCGAAAAACUUGUUUAGCCCAACCCGGGAACGUGGUCCCUUAACCAUUCGCUUCUCUGCACGGCACUUGUUUAUAAAGUCCACAUUUUCGCAAAAGAUUGCAAAUCGCCGCUCCUUCUCCGCAGCAUCCGCAUACGUGCGUUUGUACUUUUUGAUCAAUAGCUCAAACCUCCCUCACCUCACCAUUUCUGUUGCCCAAGAGACGGCCUUGCCGGUGAGUCCAUUGGCAAAGGUAUUCAUGCUGCUGCUGAGAUGGAAAAUAAUUGUUUGUUUCGGUAGAUCGAAAAUAGAGACUCCAAGGAGAAAAAGAAAUCCAAUAGACACAUAGUAUGAGGAAAUCAAUAGAAUUCGAAUGAAAAGUACUCGGGCAGUAUUCAUUUAGAAAUGAAAUCUUUUUAUUUCUAAAAACUUGUUGAGAAAUACUCCAAAAUCUUUCAGAAUUAUUUACUUAAAAUUGCAUUAACUAGUGGAAUCAAACAAUAGGUAAACAAGAUCUGCAAUCUCUAUAAUUCUAGAAUUUGCAGCAGCCGGAUAGGACAUAAAGAAGAUAAAGUCGAAUGUAAUAACCCUAAAGAGGAAAAUAUGAUUCAACACAUCUGACUUGCAUCAGGUGUACGACAAAAGCAGACGCAUAAAAAUUAGGUCAGAAAAUGAAACUAAUCACAAACAUGUCAAAUUAAAGUCGAGAAACAUCUAAAUUCUCUUCAACAAAAGAUAACUAUCAUAGGCCCAAAAAUGACAAUACCCUAUGUCUGGCGCACUAUGUAUACAAAUGCCAAAGAAAACAUAGAUCAGAUCAAGCGUACGACUCCAAAUUGCUUGGCCAACAAAAAAAAACAGAACAAACAUAAAACUGUUUGGAGCAAGAAGAAAACAUUUUAAUGAUUAUCAUCCUAACCACACAUCCCUUCAUCCAAUGGCCGAAGACCUAAUAGCAAGUGGUUAGUAUUAUUAAUAAUAUAGUAGAUUUUUUCUAUAUGUAUAUAUAUUUCGAGCUUUUCGAGCUUAAUUCGAGCGAGCCCGGUAAUACUCAUGCUUGGCUUGAAAUUAAUUUCGAGCCUAAAUUUAGGCUCAAGCUUGACUUGAAAUUAAUUCGAGUCGAGCUCGAGCGAGCCGAAUAUCGAGCCGAACGCGAGUCGAACAUGAGGCAGCUCGCUCAUUUGCCAGCCCUAGUUAGGAUGAUGUGGGCCCUUUAGGAUUGAGUGAGUGGUUGAUUGAAUAGUAUAAUCUAACGGGUAAAAAUAAUUAAAGAUUAAAUCUAAUGGUUUGGUGCAGUUUACUCAAUUGCAAAUGCAUGACUCAAUUCUGUAUCUGGUUUGGUGCAGUUUACUCAAUUUUAUUCUAAGCUGGCUGAGGAUGGAAGGUAUUCAUUAUUACUUUUGUGAUGUAUUGCUUUAUCUAUGAUUACUUCCUGCAAAUUCUAUCUUGUAAAUUUGUUGCGCUCUUGCCACUAAUUUGAAGAUCGGUAUUCUUUUCAUUUUUCUUAUUUUUAUUGGUAGUUAGUGGAGCUAUGAAGUUAGAUUGUAUUGUAACUUUGCAUAAGUUUCUUUUUCCUGCUAGUUAGUGGAGCCCUAAAGCUCCAUUUUAGAUCUUUAGGUAUCGUUUGGUUCGAAAAUAAGUUAAAAGUGACUAUUUCAGGAAUAAAUAUAAAAAAAUCGUUACAACACAAUUGAAAACAUAAGAAGGCUAGUUAUUUUGUAUUAGAUCAAGCUGGAGGGUUUAAUUGUAAAAUUUGGAAGUCAAUGACUCAAUAACAUGGAAGCGAAAUAAAAUUGGGCCGGUUUCUUUGUGGCAUAAUGUUGGACAUGUCCAAAACUCCCUUCAUCACCAUCUCUUUUUCCACUCUCAAAUAUCAUCCUUCAUGUAGGUAAUUUCCAUUUCUUAGCAUUUCCCAGGUUUUACUUCUACAAAUUGUGCAUAGAUAUAUAAUAAACUUUUUGUUUUUUUUUUUUUUUUUGCCCCUGAUAAUUUAAGGUAGUAGCAGAUGCGGUUAAUAUCGAAGUGGUCUUAAUUUUUGUUGCUUGAGAGUAAGUUAAAAGAUCACAAUCCGAGGUACUAAUGCUUACAAUUAUUUGGGUGAAACAUUUGAUUGUUGAUACACGUUGGCAUCGUUUUGUCCAUAGCUACUCGGACACCCAAAUAAGUGUGUUUCGGGGCAAUAGGUGAUGGUUAGUAGGCGUUGGUAUACUCUAGGACACUUUUUGGGUUAGAAAAGUGUUCCGACGGGUUGCCGGGCAAUUCCGGCGAGUUUCGGGAUGCGGUAUUAGACACUGAUUGCUCGGUUGAUUUUCGGGAUAGAGAUAGAUGUUUAUGAGUAUAUUAGGGUUAGCAUUUUCCUUCAUCAUGUGGAUUGUGAUUCAAUGGUUUCUAUCAUAGGUCCAGGUGACUUGGAGUACUUUUGGAGCUAGGUACUUCAUUCUGAAGUCGAUUUAAUGGUGUCUGCUCGAUGACUUCUUUCUUUUCUUUUUCUUUAUGAUUACAUAGUAUAUCAUGAGUAUAGAUCUGUUGAGUAUUUUGCACAAUACCUGAUUCUUGUUGGUCAGCUCAGUGAUCGUGUUCAUCUCAUUGCUAUCAUGAUUAGUCUACUGAUAGAGUAGCAUUUCUGUGAUUAAUUAUCAUAGCAUGACUUUUUGAUGGUGAUAUCUUGUACAUGAUGAUUUGAUUAUAAAGAUCUGAUAGGACAAUAACAUGGGGACAUUCUUUUGAGAAUAUUAGACCUGAUUUGGUCGGACAUAGUUGUUGAUUACUCUUUCGACUAUUUGUCAUCGUUGGCCAUAAAGCAUAUAUAUUGCACUGAUUGUCACAGUUCGUGAGCAUUUUCAUGUAUACCAGCGGUUUUAUCUGUUGCAAGAGAGUGUUUUUUUUUUUUUGAAAAAAUAAUCGUAAUUCUAACCUAUGAGCCCUAUGCGGCUUAUUGCUAGAGUCAUAUGCCAGUUCUAGCAAGCAUGGCAUACCUUAAGGUGCUUAGACCAAUAUAGCAAUUCAUUGAGUGUAUUUGAAAUAUCUUUUUCUGUUAACACAUAGUUGUUUUUUAUUUCUCAUUGCAGUAGAGGUUGUUUAUACUAUUGUUUAUAGUUGUUUUCAUUUCAGCUAUUGUUGUUACUAUACCAGUAUAUCUGUUGAUUAUAGUUGUUCAUUGAUUUUCUAUCUUACCUUACAGUAGUAGCUAGCUACUUUUACAUUCAUUAUUAGCUGUUACUUCAUUACUACUGUACUUAAUUUACUUGUUCACUACUGCUAAUUAUCUCCUCUAUUUGCCAUAUAUACAGGUUGCCUUCAUUCACUUGCGGUACUCACUGAGAGGGGGAGGCUUGUUUACAUGUUCUCACUCCUCACCCUCUUUCAAGUAGCUCAGGUGGUGAAGGUCGAUAUGAUGUAUGAGAAUGGUCUUAGAUAGCGGCGUGUUGGAUUGGUCUCGCGUCGGCCAUCAUAUUCCCACGCUUAGCUCAAUUCUUGAUUUCUGUUAGAUUAGUCCCUUGGUUCAGAUCUCUUAAUUAGUUUAGUCAUUAUUUGCUAAUUAAAAUAAUAAAAUGAUAGUGGGGAUUGAAUCUUUGGUUAAUUAGUUCUUAAGUAGAUUAUCAGUUUUCUAUGAUCAUCUCUUUGUUAGCAAUUUUUAGUUUACUCUUUCUUCAUCUACCUGCUGGUUGUUAUAGUUGUACCUGUGUGUGGUUGUUUGUAUGGUUGGUAAUUGCAUUCACGUGCUACGUUGUGCAUGUAAAAAGAAAAUUAUGCCCCUUUGGUUAGGAAAUUUUUUAUCCAUGUGAUAGGUUUAUGCACGUCACGGGGGUGUUCUUUAAAGGUGUUUUAAAAAAAUUUUACACGUUUUUCUGCUAGCUUUGCUAAAAAGAAUUUUCGAAAAAAACUCCGGGCGUAACAAAAAUCUUGUUAAUUUUAAUAACUAUAUUAGUUUUGAAUGAUUAAAACUAUUCAAUGUAAUACAAUUAUUGAUAUAUUUUACAAAAUUUAUAAUUUUAACUUAUUAAAAGACCUGCAUGUAGAAAAGUAGAAACUUUGAGCACCUAUUCUUUCAUGAACUAUAUAUAUUAUUAUUUACUAAAAAAAUUUCGACAAUCUUUUAUUGAAGUAUUCAGAAUUUAAAUAAUUAAAUGACAUAGAUAAAGCUGUUCAAGAAUUCAACUCUCUUGACUAAUGCAAGUCAUAGUAGAUAAUUAAAUUUAAAUUUAACAUAUAUUGACCAUUUAAUUUUCUCGCAAAAAUAAAACUUUUGUAAUUUCGAAACAGAUUAUAAAACUUCAUAUUUCAUCGUUAUGGUUGUACAUAAUUUCGAAACAGAUUUUAAAACUUCAUAUUUCAUCGUGAAUGCUUUUGUAAUUAUUGACAAAUCCCUGUUAUACUUUUUUUUUUUUCUCUUUUUUUUUUUUUUUUUUUUUUUUUUGAGGAAUACGGUAGCAGCUACCAACAUUUCGUUCAAUCUAAGUCUAGAUGAACUAAACGUACAAAAUUCGGUGCAAACAAUCCUUAUAUUGUUACAUAUUCCGAAACCAGAUUUUAAAACAUCAUAGUUCAUCGGGUUAAAUUUUGUAAUUUUUUAUUUUAUUGAAAACAUGCACUUUUGCACUUUGCAAGAAUUAGUACUAGAAUGUUAGCCUACAGUUAGUAAUCACCAAAGCUAGUAUUGUUGCAUUGGUUACUAAAUCUUUUACAAAAAUUUUUAGCUCCAUGCCCCCUAUCUGUCGAUAAUUAAACAGUACUCGCUUGGUUUAAUUACUAAAUAUUACUACUUUUAAAACAGCCGGUUCUUUUUUUUAGAGAUACGAUAUGAGAUGAUGCGAAAUUUAAUUAAACCAUCCAGUGUAAAACUUAAAUUAUUUUGUUAUCUAAUCAGAAAAAUCGGAAGUCCCACUAAGAACGAAUAUUGACUGAGAAAUUAUUUAAUAUGAAAAAAAAAAUGUCCGCGUACGCUUAUCAAAUAUUUUACAGAGAGAGAAAAUUACAAAAACAAGGAUCCUAGCAGAAGGCGACUCUUUUUUGCGCCUUUCUUGGUUCAGCAAAAGAGAGACUAAUCAAGGAAAGUCUUUUCUUGUACGUCCUUUCUUACAAAAGAUGCAUUGGGGAUAAUCAGGAAAAUAAUUUUUCUUUAACUCCUUUCUUACAAAGAUUGCAGUUGGACAGUAAGAUUCAAUUUAUAAGAAGUUUAUAAACGCACAAAUUAAUUAGUACCCAACCACUUUAAUAAAAAGUAACCUCUUACCUAAAAACAGUGCAUUCUCCAGCGUAAAGGAGAAAUUUUUUCGGGUUUCUUUUUAUGAUUUAAAUGCCAUAGUUUUCCCAAAAAAAGAAAAAAAAAAUUAUUUUUUUUUUAAAAAAAAUCUAACAGCAUAAGGUAACACGGUAUUGUGUGGUUUGAGUAUAAACCACAUCAUCGCAGGAAAUUAUUAUAGAUUCAGGUAUAAAUAAAACCUAUAUUGCAAUUUUACGUUGAACACCAAAAUUAAGUACUGCUCCCAAAAAUAAUAAAAAAUAUGUUGUUUUCUGAUACGAUAUAUAUAUUAUUGUUUAGAAUUUUAUAUUUAGAUUAAAUUAUUUAUUUAAUUUUUAUUUUUAUAAAUUAUUAUAAAUUUCUAUGAUAUUACUCCUUAUCUGUAUACUUUCUUUAAGUUUCAAUAUUUUUAUAUUUUUCUACUUUAAAUUUAAGAUCAAAUUUAAAUUGAAAAAUAUAAAAUAAAAAUUUAAAAAUUUAAAAAUUUAAAAUAUCAAAUUUUAAAUUUUAAAUUUAGAAUUUAAAAUUAUAACUUUAAUUUUUAUAUUACAAAAUAUAAAUAUUAAAAAUUUUAUAUUUAAAGUUUAAAGUUUAAACUUUUAAAUUUAAAAAUAAAAAUAGAGGUAGGAAAAAUUAAUAGGGUAAACUUCAAAUACUCCUGUGGUUUCACACUUUCUCAUUUUAAUACUUUAUAGUCUAAAGUGUAUCAAGUUAGCCCCUAUAUAUAUGGUUUAGCACUUUCUCACUUUAGUACCAUGUGGUUUAAAGUGUAUCAAGUUAGUAUUCUAUGAUUUCAUUUUUCUUUUUUUAUUAUCCAUUUUACUAUUUUUUUUUCGAUAAAUCAGUGACAAAAUUAAAACUAAAAAGUACUAAAGUGAAAAUUUGAUAAACCUAAGUAGCUAUCUGAUUUUUUUUAUAUAAUUUAAUGAAAUAUUAACAGAGAAAAAAUAAUCAGUGAGACAGUGACAAAGUUAAAACUAAAAGAUACUAAGGUAAAUAUUCGAUAAACUUAGGGGUGUUUGGCCUAACUUUCAAAAAGCACUUUGGAUUGAAAAGUGAUUUUCCGCCUAAUAAAUAGUUUGCCAACCUCAUUUUUAAAAUUUGAUUCAAAAUCACAAAACUGAUUUUGAAGGCCUCAGAAUCAGAAAGAGAAAAAAACUACUUCCAGAAAUCUCAUUUUGAUUUUGGACUCAAACUUCAAAUUUUUAUUUUCAUUUUCAAUUCAACGUUUAAAUUUAAUUUUAAUUUUAAAUUUUAACUUUUAAAAUUCAAAAUUUGAAAAAUAGAUUUCAAACAUUUAAUUUUAAAUUUCAAAUCUCAUAUUUUAGAUUUUAAAUUUUCAAAUUUUAAAAUUAAAAUUUUAAAAUUUCAACUUAAGAUUAAAUUUAAAAUUUGACAUUUUGAAAACUUAAAAAUUUUAAAUGUUAAACUACAAGUUUUAAUCUUCAAAUUAUAAAAUUUAACAAAUUAAAAUUUUAAUUUUUUAAAUUUAAAUCCUAUAUAUUAAAAUUUAAAUUUUAAAUAUUCAAAUUUUAAAUUUUAAAUUUCAUAAUUAUUUUAUAUUUUAAAUUUUAAACUUUUAAAUUGUAAAUUAAAAGUUUUAAUUUUCAAAUUAUCAAUUUUUAAAAUUUAAAUUUUAAAUUUUAAAUAUUCAAUUUUAAAUUUAAAAUUUUAAUUUUAAGUUUUAAAUAUUCAAAUUUUAAAUUUUAAAUUUUAAAUUUCAUAAUUAUUUUAUAUUUUAUAUUUUAAAUAUUAAAUUUUAAAAUUUUAAAUUUUAAUUUUAAAUUUUAAAAUUUUAAAAUUUUAAAUUAUUUUUUACAUUUUAAAUUUUGUGAAAUUUAAAAUUUUAAUUUUAAUUCAAAUUUAAAUUUAGAUUUUAAAUUAUUUUAAAAUAAAAUUUAAUAAAAAUACUAAUUUAUGCAAACAUAAAAAAAAAUUUUGCCAAACAGUUUUUCAAAAUUAUUUUAGAAAAAUCACUUUUAUUUAAACUCGGCCAAACGCUCUAUAGCUUUUAACCAAAAUCACUUCUCCAAACUAAAAUCACUUUUUCAGAAAUCAUUUUUUCAGAAGCGAGGCCAAACAGGCCCUGAGUCUUUGCUUAAGGGUGGUAGCUCCCCCUCAAGCGGUGCAUUCCGGAAUUAUCACCACGGGAGCGCGGUCCCUAAAGACGGUCCCUCGGGUCUUGCAGUGCUUAGAGCCUCCACGAUCAAAAAGGGAUUUUGAGUUGUUGAGUUCGAGGAGAACUGGGUGAACCUCGAUGCAAUUGGGUAAAAGCCAAGUGAAUGUACAUUAAGCGUUAUGAGCUAUAGAUUGAGUAUCCCUGUCGAGUGGAUUUGGGACUGAGGUGUAUGUGAGACGUCCAUUACCUCGAGCCUGGUAUUGGUGCGGUAUUCCGCAGUUGAUUGACUCGAGACCGAGUCGGGUGGUUAGCUUGGCUAGGGUAGAGAAAAACCUUAGAAGCAAGUAACCAAUGAUUGUAAAGUGACAAGAUGUAUAAAAUUAUGGAAAAGCUAUGAAUAGCAUGAUAGAAAGUAAAAUCCUUCAUUCUACUUGUAUAGUUGCAUGAUUCGCAUAUAGCAUGGCAUUAUUGCAUUCGUNAAGUAAUUGUAAUGAGGAAAAAUAAAAUUUUUUACCAAAUUCAUUAGCAAUUUUAUCUAAUUUGAUAAUUUUAAUAAAUUAAUUUGAUGUAAAUAAACCUAGAGUAAUUAACAGUUAACUACUAAUAACUUAUUAAAUUUAAUAUAAUUUUGAACUUAGCUAGGUAUAAAAUCAGAUAAAAGAAAGGAAUAAAAAAGAAAAAGAAGAUAGAAAUGGCUCUCUUUUCAACCGUUGAGAAGGGCCAAAAGUUCUUUGGCGCCGAUCGCUCCUUGUUGUGGGAAUAUUGGGUGCACUUGCAAGUAACUUUUGUGAUAAUUUUUUAAGAUUUAGAAUUUACAUUCUGGGGUUUAGAAUUUUGAUUUUCACCAGUAUUUUUAGAGCUUAAGAGUUUUAUUUGAUUGUAUAAAUAUAAUAUAAAAUAUUUUUAAAGUUAAAACUCUAAAUCGUAGAUUUUAAACCCUAAAUUCAAAUCCUAAACUCUAAAAAAAUCUAAUACCUGAAACCCUUUUAAUCUAAACUAAACCCCUGAAAUCUAAACCCUUUAAUCAAAAGAUUGAAAAAAAUAAAAAAGGGUUAAAUAAAUAAAGUUAGGGUGUAUGGUGCAUCUGGUGCCGGUGCACCAGGUGCAUCUAAUAACUUCCUCCUCAAUCCCUGUGGGGAGAGCAGUGAUUUGUCCGUUGCGGGAGUAUCCGUACAGUUUGUUUUACACCUGCGGCUCCACUCUUCUCCGAGCUCGCAAAAAAAAAAUAUUUUAUUUGAUCUUUGCCCUAUUUAGCCUACUAUUCUCUUUUACGUCGCGGAGGUGCAGUUCCCUUUAAACUCUCUCCCACCAUUGGAUAGAUGAUAGUUUUUCAAAACUCUACAAAAAAAAAAAAAAGAGGAACUCUUAAGAACCCUAAGUACCUCCGCCUCACUCCUACCUUUUAUCUCCUCCUCUAGCACCUUUUAGCUCAUCGCCGCCCUCUCCCACCCUGUCCGCAGCCGCAGCUCAUCUUCUCUCCAACCCCCUCCCUGCAGGCCCGUCUCACUCUUCCGUUGCACUCCCAGCCACCCUCUCUCCCUCCUUCCCAGCUGAAAGAUGAGGCCGUCUAUCACGCACGUUUUCAAGAGCUACAGGAGGGCCACCCUCAUUCUAGCACAGGUAGUAGCACAUUUUUCAACUCCUUAAUUUUCUGGGUGCCAUAAUCUCUUAGUUUCUCCAUUUUUAAAAAGACAAAAUGGUAUAUGAUCGAGUUCUUUGUGUGUUUCUUUUUUUCUUCUUUUUAGUGAUGUUUUAUUUAAGAUUUUAAAUUCUUAUUAUGAAUGAAGGUCACCUUAUUUGAUAAAUAGAAUAUUAUUGUUUCAAAAUACAUGAUAAGAAAGUAGUAAUUAAUAUAAAAUGUAUUAUAAUACAGUCAUAUAUAUAUAUAUAUAUUCAAGAGUUACAGGAGGGCCACCCUCAUUCUAGCACAGGUGGUAGUACAUUUUUCAACUCCUUAAUUUUCUGGGUGCCAUAAUCUCUUAGUUUCUCCAUUUUUAAAAAGACAAAAUGGUAUAUGUUCGAGUAAUUCUUUGUGUGUUUCUUCUUUUCUUCUUUUUAGUGAUGUUUUAUUUAAGAUUUUAAAUUCUUAUUAUGAAUGAGGGUCGCCUUAUCUGAUAAAUAGUAUAUUAUUGUUGCAAAAAACAUGAUAAGAAAGUAGUAAUUAAUACAAAAUGUAUUAUAAUAGGGUCAUAUAUAUAUAGGUUUAUCAUUGUGCAGGACCAGAUUAUUGAGAAGAGUUAUUAUAUAUUUUGCUUCCUGUUAAGUCAUAUAUCAGUUGCUGCGGUUGUAUUCCUGUAUGUUUUCUUGUUUAAUCGAAUUGGUUUUUCAAACUAUUAUCAACGUGUGAGUUCUUUUCAAAAAAAUAAAUAUAAUUUUUCAUCAUAGGACAAUUCAUCUACCUGUAUCUUCCGUUUCAAUAAUUAUUUCUAGCCACUUUUUAUAAUGAUCUUAUCGCUCUUUUUUAAUUUAAAAAUUCAAGUAAUUAAUCUAAACUCUAGAUGUCCUAAGAUUGACAUUGCCUAGAACAAGCAGUCUUUUCCCUCUUCCUAUUAAAUGGUUCAUUAUAUUUUAAUGGAUAAAUUUUAUUUUAUCCAAUAUAAGUUAAUACAACAUUUCACUUACUAAUAUUUUUUUUAUUUUUUAUUAGCGUCUAUACACCACCUCGAGUCGGGGAAGUACAUUUCGUUAUGCGCAUGCUGUUGACCUCCCAGCCCGAGUAGACUGGAGAGAGAGGGGGGUCGUUACUCCUGUAAGAGAAAUGCUAAUCGACGGUAAGAUUUUAUUCCAAGAAAAUAAAUAGAAUUACUAUUUUUGAAUAAUUGUUUUAAUAUAUAUUGGAUCUUAUAUUAUUUUAAAGAAAUAUGUUUUAUCGUUCCGUUUAUGCUGUUCAAUCUGCCAUUUUAAUUAGUUUAUUUUUAUGAAAUGAAAAUUAAUGCUUAUUAUACACAUAUGAAAUUUGUCAAAAUUUUAAAUCUCACUGUUCAAGUCGUUAAUAUAAAAAAAUGCACAUAGAGUAAUGAGAUUAGUAUAAAAAAAUUGAUGCAAAAUCUUUAAAUUAUAAGAUUACUUCUACUUUUGAAUUAACAAGUACAUUCCACUACUUUUUAAUGAUAAACUGUGAUCUAAAGUAGGAACUUUUACAAAAAUAUCAAUUUAUUUAACAAAUUUGUAUUUUAAUUGAUCACAAUGAUGGUCGAAAUUAAAGCUACCAUUAGGGUGCCCUUUUUAACAUGAGCAUGCAUUUUUCAUAUAGUUUUUAUGAUUUUUAUAAUCUAACAUUAUACGGAAUAUAUAAAAUUAUUUUAUUAAAAGUAACUUGAUUUUUAAAUUAUUUUAAAUGAACUUUUGAAUUAUUUUAGGAACAUGCUGGGCUUUCGCUACCUCAGCCGCAAUUGAAGGUUUGGUCAAGAUAAAGACCGGCCAUUUAAUCGAAUUAUCCACGCAGUAUAUUUUGGAUGGUUUUAGUAAGGGAUGCAAUGGCGGGUCUGAGCACGAUGGUUGGGAAGUCGUGCAAAAGCGUGGUUUAGUUACUGAGCAAGCUUAUCCUCACGUAGGUUGUAGGUGUUUGACAUUGUCUAGAAAUUUUAAUAGGCAACUCGACUAUUGUGUGUCUAGACAGUUAGUGCAUCUAGAUAAAAACAUAGGGUUUAAUUAUAUUACCGUUAAUAUUCGGGGAUUUGAAUAUAUCCCCUCUUGUGAUGAAGAGGCAAUUUUGAAAGCGGUUGCUCACCAACCGGUUGUCUGUGGAAUCCAAACCAACGACUAUUUUGGCCGCUACGAAGGCGGUAUUAUAAACAGAAGCGACAUGCCAGAGAGUGUUAUCACACUUAAUCACUCGGUCCUAAUUGUUGGAUACGGAGAAGAGGACGGGACAAAGUAUUGGAUAGUAAAAAAUUUUUGGGGAAAUGACUGGGGCGAAGGAGGGUAUGCGAGAAUGGAACGUGGAGUAGGGAUUGCAGGAAUUGAUCGGGAAGCAUCUUAUCCCGUAUAAUUGUUUACAUCCAUUCAGUUCACUUGGAUAUCAGGUAACCAAUUUCUGACUCUUUUUUCUAGAUUAUUCUCUUUUCAUUUUUAAAUUUUGACGGGUUAGCUAUUUUUUCUUUUUUGUUGUUAAAGGAAGAUGAUUAAUUAGUUGUUUUCUUUUUGUUGUUAAAAGAAUAUCUGUUAAAAUAUAUACUUGAUGCUGGAUUUCUAUAGCUGUUAAUCAGGGAUUGCUGUAUUGUUAGCAAUAAAUGUUCAUUUUAUAUGAAGCAGGUUAUCUUUGUUGAGUUUUAAUUGGUAUGUAACCAUGUUUGGAAUGACAUUCCUAAUGAUGUAUUUAUGUAGGGUUAGUGGUUUCUUGUCGCUUUAUUAUUAUUUUUAUAAUAAUGAAUUGGUGAAUCCAUGUCGUCCCUUUCGUGUGUCUGAUUGUUAAGUAUGUGCUUGCUUGAUUGUUAAGUAGACGGGUGUUGUUUACCUUUCUGUUUUUUUGGUAUACUUGAGUGUGCAUGUACCAGAUGAACGUCAAUGUUUGCUGGCUUAUCUAUGCAUGUUCAUGUUUUUUGUUUAUUCUAGUCAUAGAUAAUGUGUUUAAACUUUUUUAAUUAUUCUUCUUUGGCAGAGAACACCCGUUUUGAUGUUCACAGUAUGCAUUUGUUUGGUAAUGAGUUGAUGAAGGAGUUUGAACUAGGGGCUAGCUGUUAGCUAGGAGAUGCUGAUGAUGGUGAUGGUCCUGCUGGAUUUGGUGAGCCUUGUGAUGAGGAAUACUGUUUUUCUUUUGUUGUUUUCUUUUUUUGGUAAAGAGUGCUGGAUUUGGUUAGUUGUUUUCUUUUUGUUGUUAAAAGAACAUCUGUUAAAAUACUUUAUGCUAGAUUCCUACAACCGUUAAUCAGUGAUUGUUGUAUUGUUUGUUGAGUGUUAAUUGGUGUUGUAACCAUGUUUGGAAUGGGAUUCCUGAUGGUGUAUUCAUGUAGGCUAGCAGUUUCUUGUCGCUUUUUUAUUACUUUUAUAAUAAUGAAAUGGUGAAUCCAUGUCGUAGGUCCCUUCCUUGUGCCUGAUUGUUAAUUAGUAGACAGGUGCUGUUUUACCUUUCUGUUUUUUUGGUAUACAGAGUGUGCAUGUACCAGAUGAACGCGCAUGCAUGUUUGUUGGCUGAUCUAUGCAUGUGAAUAUUUUCUGUUUAUUCUAGUCAGUACAUAGAUAAUGUGCUUAAACUUUUUUGUUUUUCUAUUUUGAUUGGCAGAGAACACCCGUUUUUAUGCUUCAUAGUUCUUUGGUAAUGAGUUGAUGAGGAAUACUGUCUUUCUCUUGUUGGCAAUAGAGAAGAGGCAAAGUGUAACAGCUUGAAUUGAGUAAUGUCCUAAUUCCUGUGGAACUUUUGUGCUGGCCGAAUGCAAAAAAUGUAUUUUUAAUUCUGGAGUUUAAAGCUCAGCAGCACUCUUUGUCUAGUUUCAAUGGCUUUUUUACUGUUUUGAGUUGUGGAAUAUUAUUCAGCUUCUCGUAUGGAAUGGCGAUCUCCAGAAAUCCAAAAGGGUGCUUUCAUUUAUGAAUGUAUUAUUCUUAUUGAUUGAUUGCUAAAACUUUAUUUCUAACUGUGCUGAUCUGUCCUUCUAAGUUAGUUCUAACUCUUCAACUGAAGACGAAACAAGAAAUAUCUCAAACUUAAAACCCAACUCGUUUUCCAUAUUAUUCUUUCAUUUUGUGUUGUAUGUGCAUUCACAAUUGCAUAAGCUCUCAUACUAUUGGCCUAAUUAAUUAAUGCAGCGAUGCCUUCAUUUUUACAAACAGAUGAACUUUAUCAUUUGAAUUGUACUUUAUUUCUAAUUUUAUAAUAUAUCGUGCAUUAAGUCUUUGUGACUUAUUUGAUGGAAUAUUUUGAAAUUGGUUAAUAGAAUAGAUAAGUUUUUUUUUCUUUUUUUGAUAGAAACAGUCAUAUCUACUCAAAAUUUGUUAAAAUUUUCUGCAUAAUUUAAAAAGAAAAAUGAAUGCAAUGUUAAAUUGUGAAAUUUAUAUUUUUAGAAUCCAGGUACUCCGUCUUAAAACAUGGACUGGUUCGGGUAAGACCUUUAAUCUUUUGCUUACAAAUGUUUGGAGGAUGCAAGUUAUAGGACAAUCUAUUGUACUUAUAGUAUAGGCAAUCAAAUAGCACAUGUGAAGCAAAAUAAUUAAGCUCGAGUGCAAUCGAGGGCCCUUUCGUAAAAAGAGUAUUUUUAUCUGUAAAUAAUCACUUUUGCUAUUUAGUUCACCAUAAAAUAGUUUCGAAAUUUGAGUUAUAUAUACAACUUCGGCCUACUUUGAGCUAGGCCAAAGUCAUUUAUCAUGAAAAAAGGUAAAUAAAAAAAAUACAAUCAAUAAUGCUAACUAUAUUUAUUUGAUUAUGAUACUAAUUAUUUUUUUUAUUUAUAUAUUUAAAAUGUGAUAAAAAUAAAUUAAUUAAAUUGUAGUAUCUUUUUCAUGUAGUCUGCACAUUAAAAUAUAAUAAAAACUGGUUACUUUUUUUUUGAGAGAGAGAUAGGUAUCUAGUUUAAAUAAACAAAUAAAAACGUAAAAAAAAAAAAUCAUAUUUGAUUGGUUAAUAACGUAAAAAAAUAUAUUAAAAUUCUUUUAGAAUAAAAACACAACACAAGAGAGAACAGAGAAAGAAUACGAAAAGAAAGAAUUCUGGAUGAAUAAAAAAUUACAAAUGCAUAGAUAUUCUAAAAAAGCACAUAGAAUCUUGUGCAAAUACAAAAAAACAAAUUAAAAUUCGCAUUUAACUAAUCAUAUAAUCAUACAAAGAAAUUCAUCCUUCCUAUAUAUUCCCUUUUCUUAUCCAAAUCAAAUUUCACUUAAAAGUCAAUGACUAUGAUGUUUGCAUAUGGAUAUUAAGUUGUCCUACCAUCACAAAAUUAGCAAGGAAUGCAAAAAAUUUGAAGCAAAAGUAUGAAGGGAUAUAUAAUAACCAUGCAAAAAAAUAAUAAUAAUAAUAGUUAGUUUUAACUAUUCGUUUUUAUUUCAAUAAGACUCACUAUUAAUUAAAAUAUAAAGACUCAGCUCUCAUAUAUUUUAUGACAACUUGCAUAUUGCAGUUAGCCUGUUGAUGCAAUAUGACAACGUAAUCAGUAUUCUUGAUAAUUUUACUCUCUCAGUUAUUAUGCAACUCAGAUAACUUUUUGUUUAACUUCACUGACAAAGAAACGAAACAGAAUUAGCAAAGAAUGUAAAUUUUUUUUUUUUUUAGAGAUAGGUAGCAUGCUACUCGCGUCGUUUAUUUUGUUUAGAAAUAAACUUAGCUAGAAAUGUGAAUCUACUAAAAUUCACAUUUGGAACCUCGGGUACCAAUCACUAAGCCUUUUGCCACUUGCUAGGGACAAUCGGUAAAAUAUAAAGAAAAUUGAAAGAAAAGUUUGUAGGAAUAUACAACAACUAUGCAAAAAAUUUAGAAAUUAACAAUUGUAGUUUUAGCUACUUACUUUUAUUUCAAUAAGGCUCACUGAAAAAUUAUAAAGGUUCAAUUUUCAUAUAGCUAUGAACUAACAACUUGUAUACUAUAGUUAGCCUGUUGAAGGAAUAUGACUACUUAAUUAGUAUUUAUGGUAAUUCUACUCUGUCAGUUAUUGCGUAACCCAAAUAACUUCUUGUUUAACUUUAGCAACAAAGGGCUUGGUGGUUGGUAUCCGAGACCCAAGUUCGAAUCCUAGUUGAUUCACAUUUCUAGCUAAGUUUAUUUCUAAAUGAAAUAAACGAAGCUCGGUGCGUGCUACUAUUCUCUUUCUCUCUCAAAAAAAAAAAAAAAAAAAAAAAAAAAAAAAAAAAACUUUAGCGACCAAAAAACGAAACUGAUGAAAAAAAAUUUUAGAAGUUGUUAGCAUCACACAACAACAUAUGAUCAAAUAAUAAUAAUCAAUCCUUAAUUUUCUGUAAGUUUGUUAGGAAAUUACUACAAAGAGAACACUAAUUUAACAAAGAGUUCAAAAAGAUAUAUCAUUUUAAUAUGUUGUCAUUUGCACCAAAAAAACUAAAAUUAUUUAAAUAAAUAAAUAAAAUGUCUAAAGUUCUCACAAACUAAUUUGAAGCACAAAGAAACAAACCUAGUAAAAAGUGCUUGAUAACGUCUUCCAAGCAAUUUCUUUUCUAAUUAAAGUCUACGUAAAAUUAUCAACUCAUAGAGUGUACAAAAUUAUACUAUAAAGAUGUCAAUGUGGCAUAUAUUUAUCUAAGUAAUUGAUAAAAAUAAAAAACAUAUAAGUUAAGCAAUAUGAAAAAAAAUGAUGCAGAUUAAUAUAAUUCAUCGGUAAGCAAUAAAAGAAACAAAAAAAAAAACAAAUCUAAGAACUAUAAUGGUAAGGAUGAAAUAGUGCAACCAAUAAAGCAAAAGAAAUCUCCUUUCAAAGUCUUACUAUGAAUUCUUUAUUGAUCUAUAUAUCACAUUAAAAAAAUUCUAGAUAUUAGUGAAACAUAGAAAAGAAACAAAAAAUUACCAAGCAAGCUGAAAAUAAAAAACACCCAAGCCUGCUAUGCCUAGAUAGUUGAAAAGAAACUCAAUAUUUUUGUUUAAUCUAGUACAGUAAAAUAGCUCAAUAAUAAAUAGGUAGAAACUUAUAGAAUGCUUAUUACCUCUUUUAGAAUCAAAAACUUAUUUCUUGUUGAAAUUCGGUGAAGGAAUUUGCAAAGCCCUUGGUAGGGAAAUUGACGACUCCAAAAAUAUAGGACACGGACAAUUUUUAUCUUUUUUAUAUUUUUAGAUAUUUUUAACCAAAUUUCUUAGUGGUAACAAAUAGUGUAAAAGAUGCACUUUAAAGCUAGGAUAUGAAUGUGAGUUCAUAAGAAAAUGAGUAUCGCCUUGCAUGAUGAUCAGAUAUGUAGGAUUUUGUCUCUUUUUUGUCCCCUUUCAUGCUGAUCAAAAGUAUUCGAAUCACUAAUAAAUGUAGGAAUGUCACGUCCCAGAUCCUUUUGGAAAGUUAAUUUUUGAAAAAUUCAUCCAAAUUUGAAAACAGAAUUACAGAAAGCAUAUCAAUUUUUUUUUAUAAGCCUUGCUCGAGACAUGCACAGACCUACCACACACACAGGGUAUUCUCUAUUCAUGUGGAUAAAAUCUCUCCUAUACAUACACGGCGUAGAAGCACAAAUACAGAACCACAAUCAAGUGAACUAGAUGAUUUAAGUGUACAACUACCAAUCAACCCAAUAUCAAAAUCCAGAAUCAACUAAACCACUACAAUAGGAAAAACCAAAAAGCAACAAAACUCCAAUUACAUAUGAUAUCACAUAACUACAAGCAGAUCACAAGGUACUGAGAUACAUUAAAUCUGAAACUAGAAAUUGAGAUCACUACAAAACAGGUGAUUUAUGGUGACAGUUAAUUUAGUAACACUUAACACAAGCGCUGGCAAAAAUAUAUUUUAGCAGCGGCUUUAACUAAUUACUAGAACAGUUCUAAAUCGUCGGUAUAUAGUAAUAUAAAUAUAUUUCCCAAUAGGGCAAUCAGCCGACGAGGGCAAGCCGCAUUCACUGGCAAACAAUGAGUACAAUAAGCAAGGUAAACGAGUAAUCAACAAUAGUAGGAAAAAGAUUAGGCAAACAGAUAUCAUGAACUAAAUACAAGAACAGUGCCGCUACUGUAACAUGAAUCAGAUACUAAAAUGAAGAAUACAAGUCAACCACAGUAGAAAAGAAAACUAACGAGUAGUCAUCAUAAACAAUCAAGUACGAGGUAUCGCUACUCUAAACAAGUCAUAUUGUAACCUGAAGGAUCCAACUACUGUAGCAAGAUGAAGAACGCACAGUAACAUGACCCACUCACGAUGAAAGCCGCUACCGUAGGCUAAACAACUACUAAAUACCAUGCAUGACUCAAAUCGAGAUACUAUACAUCAACUGGACAUACGAAUAGUUCAAAGUAUACCCAAUCCCUGUGGCUCAUCACAACGACUCGGCCUAAACUUGCCUAUAGGUCUCAAGUACAGUAAACCAAAUACCACUCCGGAGGAACACAUCAAAACGUACUCAAAGUCGCUAACUCUAUCUAAGCGCGAUGUAUAUCAAAUCUAGGGGUGAGAACUCAGGGUGGCGAACCCUGUCUACGAAACAUCACCUCCUACUGUGCUGGCAACUGAAGUACCCUGGAUUAGUAACCCUAUCCCAAUAAUCUAGACUCAACAGUCAAACCACUGCUCGUAGACGACAAUAGGAGCUAGGAGCUAAGAGAUAACCACAGUGGAUGUCAAUGAAAAUAUCAAAAUCCAAACUAACCGGAUCGACUAGCAUGCUACACUAAACGAGUAUGUAGAAAAGAGAAAGAUAAUGCAAGUGACAGACGUGAGCAUGCUAAAGACUCAAUCACGACGGAGUACAUUAUCCAAUCCUUAGAUCAAAAUCUGCGGGAAUGAACACCGAUCGACUAGGUCAAUCUCAUACUAGAUAAAUCAACCGACUAACGUAAUCACAACUCAUCAAGGAAUAAACACCAAGUGUAUAUUCUGCCAAGUCAUCACCUACCCUACAUGUCAUACACGAGAUACAAGAGAGCUCAAUCAAGAGUCUACCAAUCUAUACGAUAACCAACAUGGCAAUCAAUAGGUAUGUAAAGUAAAAGCAUGAGUCAAUAUGAAGUCAAUGGAAGUUGUCCUACUCAAUUAAUAGAAUAGAUCAAACGGAAAGAAAACGUGGUUAGAUACAACUUUACCGACUUGAGAAUGGAUCACCCAUCUCACCAAGUACCCGAGUCCUCAACUCGAAGUGAUGGUUCUAGAAGUCAACUGUCUAUAGAAAAUAUCAACAUGAUCAUCAUCAAUUGGUGACAUAAAGUCACCCACACAGUACCACAACACAAAGGAACAUUAGAUACUUUUACCGAUCUCCUGAAUUCGUUGAAAAUUGCAUAAACAAACCGAGAUACCACUGCAUCUCAUGAAGUGUCACAGCUCACCCCAAAUGUCUCUAAUUCAUGCCCGCUGUCCCCCGAUACCAUAUUUUAGCUUUUUGGGACGGCCAAAUAUAACCUAUGCAUCAACGGGAGCUACAGCUCCAAAACCAACUCAAAUCGGGCUCCGGGGUACUUAUUUCGGUACCGGAACCACCUACAACAUAAUUGCUGCCAAGAAAGACAUAAAACAUGGCCAUGGAAUAGAAGGUUGGCCUGAUGGUGGAGGUGCCGGAGCUUGCACCUGCCGGCGGCAAUGAUGAUGGCGUCGGCAGGAGACCCAAGCUCGGCUUCCACCAAAUCUCCAACAGCAAGGCACGAGUUGCAGGGCUUCAAAUAAUCCUCAGGUCAACCAGACGAAGCUGAUCAAGGUAGGUAGGCUUAGGGCAUAUACUUAUAUAGAUACAUAUAUAUAUAUAUAUAGCUAUAUAUGUAUACUAUAUAAUUUUAUGUAACAAAUACAAUUUAAUCUUCUCGUGCACACAAUCUUUAUAGUGAUGCUCAAUUUGCACAGAACCGUUCUCAUUGAAAAAUUUUGCAGUUUACUGCAUUAAACAUCAUCCUUUUGUGAAAGGUUCCCCAAUGAUUUCCUUUCUCUAGCUUCAACUAUGUGCCAAAUUUCACAGGAAUCUCAAAAUUUCAUAAAAAAUUGAACCUACAUGAUCCACUCCCAGUCUAGUUUCACAUGAGUCCAUCCACUCACAGAAAUUUCUGAAAUUCUCAUAUGAAAUAAUAACUCCUUCGCAUGUGGCCCCUUUUUCGCCAAUUGCAAAAAUUGCAAUAAAAGACACCCUCUUUAGAAUGUUCACCGUACAAUACCUUGGGUACUAUAAAGAAUUGCCAUUAGGCCAUCAAGCUUGCCUUAUGCUUUACUUUUCCAUCAACACCACUUGUUAAUAGUAGCAUCAUUAACAACAGAAAUAGCAAAAUGAGCAGGAGAUAAUGGAAGACUUUAAAAAAUCCAAAACUUAUAGUAGCAGAAUAAGGAAAAAAAAGUAAAUGUAGCAGUAGAAGCAGCAGUAGAAAAAUGAGGAGCAAGGAGUAAAGAAUUUUUAUAUAUAAGGUUCAGAUUUGGCCACCAUCAAUUAUAAGUUAUGACAUAAGCUUACACGGCCUUCUACAUACUUCAAGUUCCAUCAUAAGUUAUAACACAAGCAAAGUAGAACGUCACUAGAAUAGCGGUAGUUAUAACAUAAGCUUAUACGGCCUCAUACAUACUACAAGUUCCAUCAUAAGUUAUAACACAAGCAAAGUAGAAAAUCACUAGAAUAGCGGUAGUUAUAACAUAAGCUUAUACGGCCUCCUACAUACUACAAGUUCCAUCAUAAGUUAAAACACAAGUAAAGUAGAACAUCACUGGAAUAGCGGAAACCUCCAGAGACCCGCAAGACUAAAAUCUACUCAACAGCAACAGCACCAUCCGGACCAAUAUUUUGGAGUGGCUGCCUGCAUAGCAGACAGAGUUUCUUCUUCUGGAUCUCUUGCCCGCUAGUAGCACCCACCUCUGAUGGAAACUGUGUCGAUUUGCCAAGCUGAUGGACAGAAAGUUAGAAAUUGAAAUGCUGCACUGUUGAGAGAAAGAGAACGGGUCAGCUUGCUCACCUCAUUUGCCCUGACCUCAUUUGCACUGCUUCUCACUACCCUCCGGCAAUAAUUUCCAACUAUCUCCUCAUGUGUCAUGUCGAAAAACGUGUUUAGCCCAACCCGGGAACGUGGUCCCUUAACCAUUCGCUUCUCUGCACGGCACUUGUUUAUAAAGUCCACAUUUUUGCAAAAGAUUGCAAAUCGCCGCUCCUUCUCCGCAGCAUCCGCAUACGUGCGUUUGAACUUUUUGAUCAAUAGCUCAAACCUCCCACGCCUCACCAUUUCUGUUGCCCAAGAGACGGCCUUGCCGGUGAGUCCAUUGGCAAAGGUAUUCAUGCUGCUGCUGAGAUGGAAAAUAAUUGUUUGUUUCGGUAGAUCGAAAAUCGAGACUCCAAGGAGAAAAAGAAAUCCAAUAGACACAUAGUAAAAGGAAAUUAAUAGAAUUCGAAUGAAAAGUACUCGGGGUCUUUUUUUUUCUAAAAACUUGUUGAGAAAUACUCCAAAAUCUUUGAGAAUUAUUUACUUAAAAUUGCAUUAACUAGUGGAAUCAAACAAUAGGUAAACAAGAUCUGCAAUCUCUAUAAUUCUAGAAUUUGCAGCAGCCGGAUAGGACAUAAAGAAGAUAAAGUCGAAUGUAAGAACCCUAAAGAGGAAAAUAUGAUUCAACACAUCUGACUUGCAUCAGGUGUACGACAAAAGCAGACCAUAAAAAUUAGGUCAGAAAAUGAAACUAAUCACAAACAUGUCAAAUAAAAGUUGAGAAACAUCUAAAUUCUUUUCAACAAAAGAUAACUAUCGUAGGCCCAAAAAUGACAGUACCCUAUGUCUGGCGCACUAUGUAUACAAAUGCCAAAGAAAACAUAGAUCAGAUCAAGCGUACGACUCCAAAUUGCUUGACCAACAAAAAAUAAUCAGAACAAACAUAAAACUGUUUGGAGCAAGAAGAAAACAGAUUACAAGAUAUUGAGAAAGAAUAGGAAAAAAUAUAUAUAUUAAAUGUAAACUCUGAUUUGUGUUAGCAAAUCGAUUUAGGUCAGGUCGGCGAAUAUAUAUAUUUCAGUACAGAAUCAGUUGUUUCAAAAACCAGUAUUCCAGUUCCAGUUCCAGUUCCAAACCGGAACAGCAACCAGCCAACCCGUUUAUCUCGGUGCUAAAACUUCUCUGGCAAACUGGCCUUGCACUCAUGCUUCUAAAAGCACAAAAAGAGCCACUAUCAAAGCCAUCAGAGUCAAUGUUUGUUAGUUGGAUCACAAACCCAGGUAGAUGGUAAUAUUAGCAAAUAUAGUACAAAUCCUGCCUUCAUAAGAGGAGCAAAUCAAAAUAAUUGAUGCUUCGUCUGGAUGGAGAGAUUUAAAAAAUGAAAAGAAAAGAAAGCAAUUUCAAGAAAAAAAGGUUAGAAAAGAGUAAAACCUAAAGAAAAAAAAUUUAGAACGACAAACCACUCACACCUGGACACGACUAAUGUUUUGCUGUUUGUUGAAUUACAAAUAAGAAGAUGAAGAUCCCCACAUCGGGUAACACUUUCAUAGAUUUUACAAGCAAUUGGAAAGAGAAAGAAGGGGUAAAAGCGGUCCGAUUCCAGAAUUUAAAAAAAAAAAAAAAAAAACACUAGAAAUAGAAAAUCUGAACAGGAAGCGAACCUAGAUGAACCCAGAUGAGCACCCUACGCGAAAUCCUCCUCCGAGAUUGUCGGAAUAGUGCAGAAGAGGCACAAAAACAUGUAUUUCACAGGUAAAAAAGAGACCUAGAUGCCAUCAAUUACAGUGCUUUCAAAAGGGAUAGGUCGUCUUCAGAACUUCUCAAUAUUCCUUCGUCUAGGGUUUCCCUGUUUCUCAUCUGGGCCAAACCGAGGUUGAAUUUCAACAAUAAAAUAAAAUCCUAUCGUGUUAAAACACAAACAAAACCCUAGACGACGUCAGAUUGAAAACGACAAUAAACUAGACGAACUUAGAUUAUAAAAAAAAAAAAAAAAGAAAUUGGGUAAUCUAGUUCCAAAACACUCUUUAAAGAAGGGAUUCAUUCGAAUACCUCAAAGAUGUGGAGGGAGAUCGGACGAGUGAGGGCGAAGAGACGAAAAGGGUCAAAGGGGAACGACGAAAGCGAUCGGGCUUUAAUGAAAGAAAAAGGGACAAUUUCAUAGAUACCCAAAAUAUCAUGUAUGCCCUUCUAAAGUUUAAAAUAUAACAUAAACCCCUAUAAACAUUAAAAAUUAACAUUAAAAAUGGGUUAACUUUUAAUAUCACCAGUUUAGUAAAAAUGUAUGGAGAUUCCCUCAACUAUAUAUCAUUUUAAAACAGCUCCCCACAACUUUUAUAUUUUAGUUGACAUCGCAUUAAUUUUUAAUUUUUUAUAAAAUUAACUAAUUUUAGUGUACAAAAAAUGAGAAUUUUGUUUUUUUUUUUUUAUGAUUUCACUAAAUCUAGUAGCUUUAUUUUUAUUUUAGCAAAUAAAUAACUAUGUAUAAAAAUUUAAAUAAAAAUAAAAGUUGAGGAUUUUUUUNUGGUGCGAUUAAAGUUUUAGCCCUUAGAUGAAGCGAUAUACAGUUAAGAUGAUAGCAGUCCCCUGGGGUUGAGUGGUUGGUUGAUUGAAUAAUAUGAUCUAACAGAGAAAAAUGGUUAAAGGAGUUAAUCUAACGACAGAAAAUGUGAUAGAACUAAGUGUUUGAUGCUAUCAAUAGUAUCGUAGUCGGACUCCUAUAAUAAUAAAUAUAAGAUAAAUUUGUGCAAAAUUUAUCCGAGAUAUAAAUCAUUUUGAAUUGAAUAUUCGAUCUUCCAAAAUUUGAUUUUACUUUGCAAUUGUUCACUUUAUUUGAUUUUGAUUAGUCAAUGGUAUUUUAGCUUUAAAAUAUAAACUAAUUUUUUAUUUUUAAAAAUUUAUAUUUACAAAAAUUGUCUUGAAAUGCUUAUUAGUAAUUUUACUAUUGAUAAGAGAUAAAGGUAAAAAUGAUAUUUUAAAAAUUUAACCCCAUUUCAUAUGAACAUUAACGAAUUUUAACGAGUGGAGGAUAUCUAUAAUAAUUUUUUAUAUAUUAGAGGGUAUUCAUUAUAUUAUCAAUUUUAGAAAGUUAUUGAUAAAAUUAAUAGUGCCCAGAAGGGCAUAUUAAAUUAUCCCAAAGAAAAAAAAAAACUAAAUUAUACCUCUCGUCCUCAAGCUAUUGACAUAAUAUUUUGGUCCUCAAGCUAUUAAGUAGCAUAAAUUUUCUCAAGAAAUGUAGUCGACUCGACUACAUUUCAACAUCGCUAAUUUUGUAACCUUUUUUAUUUCUUUUAAUUAGUAUAUAUUCAUUUUAUUUAUCUUAUUACAAAUGGAAGAAUUAUAUUUUAUUUCUUUUAAUUUAGUAUACUUUAUAAUUUCAGAUUUUAUACAUGUAAGCUCAAUAAUUUAUUAGUAAUCAACAGUUAAUUACUCUAGGUUUAUUUAUAUAAAAUUAAUUAAUUAAAAUUAUCAAAUUAGAUAAAAUUGCUAAUGAAUUUGAUAAAAUUUCUUAUUUUUUUAGAUUAAAAUUAUUUAGUUCCAUUAAAAAAAAAGCAAGCUAGCAUGAUCUUUUAUGGUCUAGCAGAAAAGACAAACUCUUUUUUGUGAAAGUGAAAAAAAUAAACUUUAACUGUUUUGAGAAAAAUACUAUAUGAACACUUACACAGGACUUUAAGAUUUACAGCCCCAAUACAAAGUUUAUUAAAAACUUUGCAUUUUUAGCUUAAAAAAAAGGCUAAAUUACAGAAAACCCCCUUGUAAUAAUUCGCUUUUUCACUUUCCCUCCCUGGCAUUUAAAAACCUACACUUUGCCCCCCUGUAAAAUAAAAAAUGUGCACUUCACCCCCUACCGUUAGGGUUCCGUUAAAAAAUAUAUUUUUAUGCCGAAAAUACCCCUCCGCCAUCUUUCUAUUGCUUCGCCUUCCUCCGGCUCGCCGCCUCGCCGCUUCGCCGCCUAGCCAUCCUCCACUGCCUCACCCUCACCCAUAUCCCCUUCGCCGUCCUCCGCCGCCUCGCCCUCGCCUUCUUUGCUCUUCUCCUACUGUCGCCCACCUCGGUUUUCUCUUACUGUCGCCGAAAUCGAGGGCGGCGAGGGUGCAGGAGGAGAAAGGGAGCAGGUGGAGAAGGAAAUGAAGAGAAAUCGCGGCCGAUUGAGGUGGAAAUCGCGGCCGAACGAGGGGGCGGCCGAGAAAGAUGGGGAAGAAGACGACAAUGCCGAGGGGCAAAAUGGUCAUUUUACACACCGUAAUCCCUCUGUGAACAUUUUUUAUUUUACAGGGGGACAAAGUGUAGGUUUUUAAAUAUAAGUGGGGGAAAGUGAAAAAUCGGGUUAUUACGGGGGGAUUUUCUGUAAUUUAGCCUAAAAAAAGAUCCUUUGAAUGGAAGGAUGUAAGAUAUACAUCUUCUUUUGGAAAAUGAUUCAGUAUUUUAUUUUAUUAAAAAAAAAUUAAACGAUAAUAACGAAGGUUGAAAAUAUAAUUUUAUUAUGUAGCAGAUUACAAGGUGAUUUUUAUGUGAGGGUAUUUUUUUAAUCAAAUUAGGCAAAAUGUUAAGAAAGGUUUAAUUAAUAUUCCAAAUUUAAUAUUAAUUUUGUACUAAUUUAAGUAUUAAUUUAAGAUUUGAUUGAUAUUCUAAUUUUUUUAAAAAUAAUUUUAAAAUAUAGUUUUUUUUUCCAACCGUCCAUAAAAAAUAAAAGACUAAAUUUAAAAAAUAAGAAAAAAAACGAUAUAUACGAAGAAUGAAAAAAAAUCCACAUAAAAAAGCAAAUUUAAUUCUCAUUUUAAAAAAAAAAAUCCUCACAUUUUUUCCUCUUAAGUUUGAGGUUAUGUCUCUUGGAGAGAAAGCAACAAGCCAAAAUACUCUCUUGGACUGCGUUUGGUUCGAGAAUAAGUAAAAAAUGGGCAUUCCGGGGAUAUGUAUAAAUUCAGGUAUAAUCAGAGAUUAGAUUAAUUUUACGUUUGGAUGAAAAUUGGAUUAUUUCUGAAAAUAAAAAAAAAAGAUGGAAUAAAAAUUAAAGUGAGUAGUUAUAAAUAAAAAAUAAUAAUAUUAUUUUUUUACAUUUGUCACGCCCCGGAUUGCACGUUUUUCGGGUACGUCGACAAAUCCGCCGUAUACAAAGCAAUUUUUCCUAUAUACGAAGUGAUAGCUGUACCUGUAAAUCAUACAAUACUACAAAUAAUAGUAUAGAACUGUAAGAGUCCAACGGGUAAAAAUAGAAAAAAAUUUCAUAUACAUACGAACAUCCAGGUAUACAAAAAUGCUCGCCCAGCGAGAUACAACAACUACAAGUAUGUAUAAGAAACUAAGAAACUAGUACUACUUGCAGCUGGUAACCACUGGAACAGCAGCAACUGGAAAGUGCUCUAACCGGCAACGCCCUUACCAUGAUCAGUCUCCGAGGAAGCAGUAGCCAGAGCAGCAGGCUCUGCAAAAAAUAGGAUAACAACUGGGCAUGAGAACUACUGUAAAAACAAGUAGUCCUCAGUGGAUGCGGCCCUCGCAUCGUCGGUCCACCCACUAAGUCUACAGUAAAAAGUAAGGAUAGUAGGAAGAGCUGGAAGAAAUCUACAGCUAAAAAUCAUUACACUAUCCUACUCUACACUAAUCAACUGUAGAAAAUGUCAAUCCUGAUCCAAUCUAACCGGGAUUGUAAGCCUACCCGUCCCUGGGACUGUGAACACACCCGUCCCGCCCGGUUGAGACUAUACAGCUAUUUCCACACUAACAGUCCGUGGAGAGCAAGUCCAAUCUGCACGAACGACACCAACGCAAAAGUACAGCGCCCGCCUCCGGAGUGACACUCGUGGGAGCUACCCAACCGAGUAUGCAAGCGUAUCUCUGUCGAGCUCAAUCAAGCUCCCACAAGCCAAAGUCAAGUAAAUCAAGUCCAACUGGCCUAACAAUCAACAAAUCACGUGCCUCGGCACAAUCUGAUGUCAAAAUGGCGAUAUAGAUCCACCGUCAACCCUGACGGCUCCCAACAGUUCGGAACAGUCUGAAUGUUAUCGAAAAAAUAUACUCGGCAUCCCAGUAUGAGCGUAACUAAAAUCUAAACUAUCCGGGGUAUCCACCACACCGAUACUGCAGCGAUACAAAAUUACAACGGCUCCUAAAGCUAAAUCAGAUAGUUUAAGCAUAUGACAGGUAAUAGUCGCAGUUUUCUCAUAAGUCAAAUCUAAGUCCAACAUCUGCUAGUAGAUACAAACAAAUGACAAGGCUCCAAUUCAUAUUUUAUGAAUAACUAUACUAGAAUCCAUAAAUUGAGCAAUUGCAAUAAACAACCUGCUACCUCGCACACAUGCCGACUAUAUAUAUAAAUGCGCUUAGAAACUAAACCGACGAUUAAUCCACCUCGAUACCAAUCCGGCGCGAUGUCGAGAACGGCGGAAUCGCACCCUCACCUGGCCUCCUCGUUAUGCUACAGUGACGAACGCACGCUCGAACUGCACCGUGGUGCCACGUCGGUGACACUCGAACUCCAACCGAGCUCCUCCACCAUGCACGGUCAAGCACAAGGAGAAUAGAGAGCAGAAAAUCCUCUCAUCUCUGUUCUCUCGAUCCUAUAUAGGGAGGGAGAAGGAAUGGUGAUACAAUCAAGGCAAGAAAAUUAUCAAAAAGUCCCUUACAUACCCCGGUGUACCAGUACACGGGCACAUAUAUCGGUACAAAUGCCAACCCGAGAGCAGUCUGUGAGGAAACAAGUGAAGUGUACCGGUACGCCCCGGAUGUUGUACUGCUACAAUAAGAUGUACCGGUACGCCUUGAUAGUUGUACCAGUACAGCAAGCUGAAAAAUCUGCUAUUUGCAAAUUGUAGUGCUAACUUCCUACUCUUGCGUCGUUUUGAGUCUGUUUUGCGUCUUUUUCGCGCCAACGCGACUCGGACUUGUCCCGACACUCUCUAGAGCUGUCGACAAGCCUCAACUGCAAAACACCAGGGAUACCACAAUAUUAGAAUUUAAAUUUUUAUAUUUUAUAUUUAUAUAUUUUAUAUUUAUAUUUUAAAAUUUAAAUGAUAAAUUUUUAAAUUUUAAAAAUCAAAAUUAAAUUUUAAAAUCUCAAAUUUAUAAUUUUAAAAAUUAAAAUCUUAGAUUUUAAACUUUAAAUUUAAGAGGAAAUUUUAAUUCAAAAAUACAAAAUAUCAAAUUCUAAAUAAAAAAUAAAAUAUCAAAUUUUAAAAUUUAAAAUUAAACAUUUUAAAUUUUAAAUUUUAAAUUUUAUAAUUUUAAAAAUUAUAAAUUUUAAUUUUUAAACUUACGAAAUUUAAAUUUUAUAAUAAUUUAAAAUUCUCUCACACACACACUCUCUCUCUCUCUUCACGGGUGGAACAAGCUAGGUUAUCCCAGCUAACAAACUGGGAUAACCCAGCUUGUUCCACUUUGGGGUGGAAACACUAAUUCCUUCCUUAACGAGCUAUUUUUAGAAUAGAAUAGCUCGUUAAGAAAAGAAUUAGUGUUCCUAUCAUUUUCUAUUUGUGUUUGGGGGAUAAAGAUGGAAUAAACCCUUUAUUCCAUUUUUAUCUCCCAACCAAACAUAGCCUUGGAGAAGAAUUAACAAGAGACUAUACAAGUCUAUAAUCAUUUCUCUAGUUCUCUUUUGGAGAUUUUAACUAUUAGAAUUUGAAGAGGUCUUGGGAAAUGAGAAGGUUUUAAAAUAGUUUUUUUUUUGACAUUUUAAAAUAGAGUUUGGAGAGGGCUCGAAAAAUGAGAAGGUUUUGAAGUAGUUUUUUUUUUUUUUUUUGAGAUUUUGAAGUUUAAAAUUAAGAUUUAGAUUAUAAAAAUAUAUAUUUUUUGUGUUUAAAUUAUAAAAGUGUAAAUAUUUUUUUGACCUUUAGAAUCAGAUUUAAUGGUUUGAAUUUUUUAAAUAUUAUAUCAUAUUAAAUUUGUUCGCGUUCAGGUCGGGUUUGAGUUCGGGUUCAAGUUCAGGUUGUUUUAAAAUAUUCAUAUUCAAACUCAAAUCCAUCGGAUUUUUUUUUAUAUCCAUACCCGAAUCUAUAUCCGGAUAAAAUUCAUUCUGUUCGGAUUUGAAUUUGGAUAAAAUUCAAAUAUUCAUAUCCAUUUACAUCCCUAAUCUUGAGAGGUAAGCAGGCUUAAAAUUGGGUGUGUGAUUAUCUCUACACCUGCUACCGCUAUCUGGAUCUGGAUAGUUACGCAGCCACCAUGCUAGGAUGUCAACCGACGGGUUUUAAAAAUCCAAAUUCGAACAUGACUAUCAAAUCUGAAGUCCGAACCCGAAUCCGAAUACGAACCCGAUGGAUUUUAAAAAUUUAUAUCCAAACCCGAACCCGAGCAAAAAUUCGAAACCCCAACCCAAGCAAAAAUUCGAAAUCCGAACCCGAACUCAAAAACUCGAAUCCGAAUCCGGAACAAAUCUGAACGCAACCAAAAACCCGAAACCCGAUUCUAAACCAGAAAACCCGAACCCGAAAAUAAUAUUUACCAAAUUUCAAAAUAUAUUAUACAAAAAAACUAAAGUUUAAAAAUACAUAUUCAAAUACAAUAUUAAAUAUUCAUACCAUAAGAGAAAAAUAAAAGUUUAAAAAAAUACAUAGAUCUAAAAAAUUAACUCAUAAGAACUAAAGGACUAAAAUUAAAAAUGCUAAUUAAGAAAAAAAAAACAAAUUUUUUUAAAAAUUUAGAAAAGAAAGAAUAGUUCCAUAGCCCAACAACCCAUAAGCACCAAGAGAUUACUAAUUAAAAGAAAAAUAAAAUAAAAUUUUCUAAAAGUUUUUUUAAAAAAUAGUUUCAUUGUCCAAAAAUCCAUAAGAUUAAGAGACUAAAGUUAAAAUUACUAAUUAAGAGAAAAAUAAAACAAAAAGAUUUUUAAAAAACUAAAAAAGAUUCAUUACCCAACACCUCACAAGAUCUAAGAGAGUAAAGUUAAAAAUACUAAUUAAGAGAAAAACAAAACAAAUUUUUUAAAAAAAUUUUAAAAAAAAGAUAACUUCAUUACCCAACAAUUCACAAGAACUAAAAAACUAAACUUAAAAAAUAAGAAAAAAGACAUAUAGAUAAGAAGAAUAAAAAAAAGCUACAUAAAAAAAACAACCUUCAUUCUCAAAUUAUUUUUAAAAAAUCCUCACCUUUUUUUCUCAUAGGUUUGGAGGAAGAAAGAAGCGAGAAACCCUCUUGACUUCUUGAAGAGGAAUUAAUAGGAGACUACAAUGUUUUAACUCCUAGGGUUUCGGCACAACUUGGGACGGCUUUGAAAUUUGAACAUUAAAGUUUAGGUUAUAAACAUAUAUGUAUUUUGGUUUGGGUUAUAAAAGUGUUAAGUAUUUUUUUAGCCCUUAAAUUCAAAUCUAAUGGUUUGAAUUUUUUUAUAUAUUAUAUCAUAUUAAAUUUGUUCUUAUUCUGAUUUGAGUUCGAGUUUUUUAAAAAUAUCUAAAUUCGAACCCAAAUUCGUCAGAUUUUUUUUAAUAUUUAUUUUCGAAUUGAUAUCCAUUUACAUUAGGUAAAAUCAACUACAUUCUGGUUUGGAUUAGAAUUAAAUUCGGAUAUCGGUAUCCAUUUACAUCCCUACACCGUGCUCACCUACUAAGAGAUAAAGCAGUAAAACAGUAUUUCACUGUUUAUGUCAAGAGGCAUUUGAAUCACAUUAUCUAAAAUUCAUAGAUAUUAAAAAAAAAAACAGAAAUUUCGUUCAUAGUAAUAAAAAAAUUAAAAAUAUUAUAAUUCCUCCGACAUUUAAUUCGCGCAAUUAUUAUUGAAGAUUAUAAAGAUUGUAAAAUUUUAUAAUAGACUGAUCCUAUGAAGAUUAUGAGUUUUGCUGCCACAACCAACUUAAAGAUUCGAAACAUCAGACCAUCACACUUUAUAUGGAGCCAAAUUUAGAUAUAAAAGUAGCAGAAACAUUAGAAAAAAGCAAAAAUCACGAGUAAAUGAGUCCUUAGACAGACUUCAGCAUAAGUUAUAACAUAAGCUUAUACGGCCUCCUACGUACUACAAGUUCCGUCGUAAGUUAUAACACAAGCAUAGUAGAACAUCAGUGGAAUAGCGGAAACCUCCACAGACCAGCAAGGCUAAAAUCUACUUAACAGCAACAGCACCAUCCGGACCAAUAUUUUGGAGUGGCUGCCUGCAUAGCAGACAGAGUUUCUUCUUCUGGAUCUCUUGCCCGCUGGUAGCACCCACCUCAACUGAUGGAAACUCUGUCGAUUUGCCAAGCUGAUGGAAAAAAAGGUUAGAAAUUGAAAAAACACUGCAUUGUUGAGAGAAAGAGAACGGAUCCGCUUGCUCACCUCAUUUGCCCUGGCCUCAUUUGCCCUGCUUCUCGCUGUCCUCCCGCAAUAAUUUCCAACUAUCUCCUCAUGCGUCAUGUCGAAAAACUGGUUUAGCCCAACCCGGCAACGUGGUCCCUUAACCAUUCGCUUCUUUGCACGGAACUUGUUUAUAAAGUCAAUUCUUUUGCAAAAGAUUGCAAAUCGUCGCUCCUUCUCUGCAGCAUCCGGAUACGUGCGUUUCUACUUUCUGAUACAUAGCUCAAACCUCCCACGCCUCACCAUUUCUGUCGCCCAAGAGACGGCCUUGCCGGUGAGUCCAUUGGCAAAGGUAUUCAUGCUGCUGCUGAGAUGGAAAAUAAUUGUUUGUUUCGGUAGAUCGAAAAUAGAG
rnacentral:lncRNA from 1 species